CGAGGAUGAAGUGGGACCUUUAGCCCAUCUUGCUCCAAGUCCUCAGAGUGAAGCUGUGGCUCAUGAAUUCCAGGAACUCUCCUUGCAGUCCAGUCAAAACUUACCCCCUCUGAACGAAAGGAAAAAUGUGCUCCAGCUGAGGCUGCAACAAAGGAGGACGAGAGAACAACUAGUGGACCAGGGCAUCAUGCCACCUUUGAAGAGCCCAGCGGCAUUCCAUGAACAGAUAAAAAGCUUGGAACGAGCCAGAACUGAAAACUUUUUGAAACACAAGAUUCGGAGUCGACCAGAUCGUUCUGAACUUGUCAGGAUGCACAUUUUAGAAGGGGCAGGAGGUGAGAGGUAUGUCCCUUUCUCUACUUUGGGUUGUGUUCUCAGAAGUCCGCUGG
rnacentral:sRNA from 1 species